GGUUGGGAUGUUGGUGUCGGCUGGGGGCUGCUGUGAGGCGCUUGGUAGCACCCAGUCCUGAUACUCUCCAGUUACCCGGUAGGCGGGGCUCGGACACAAAGAAAAGGUGAAUUCGCAGCUGAGAGCCCUUGUUUCCGGUCCUUUUUUUUUUUUUUUUGAGAUGGAGUCUCGCUCUGUCACCCAGGCUGGAGUGCAGUGGCGCCAUCUCGGCUCACUGCAAGCUCUGCCUCCGGUGUUCAAGCGAUUCUCCUGCCUCAGCCUUCUAAGUAGCUAGGAUUACAGGCGCGCGUCACCACGCUUGGCUAAUUUUUGUAUUUUUAGUAGAGCCGAGGUUUCACCAAGUUGGUCAAGAUGGUCUCAAACUUCUGACCUCGUGAUCCGCCCGCCUCGGCCUCCCAAAGUGCCGGGAUUACAGGCGUGAGCCACCGCGCCCGGCCGUCUCCGAUCUUUACACGCAUUCUUCGUGUUAUCUGAAGACACUCUGACGCCACCACCCAAAGCAACUGGCAGUUGACUCUUGGCAAUUUUAAGCUUGUGUGGAAAGCAGCCGCCGCCCGGUAGCUCCUUUUUAUCUAGAGACACUCAGGAUGUGGGGGACACCCCAGCAAUGCCAUCCCUCCUUUGACCUCCAGAGCGCGCAGAAUUACAAAAGAUCUUUGGGGGCUUGGAUGGAGGAACAGGAAAAGAGGAGCCAGGCUUUUUUGGAAAAUUGGCGGCAGCGGUGGCAUACGGGAAACUGAAAUCUUUAUCUAAUCUCAUCCUUUGUAUAUUCGUCUUGGAUUUGCUGAAGAAAAUUAAAAGGCCAGGCCUACCACUCCUAUGGCACAGUAUUGAUGAGAGACAUCAGUGGAGCUCCCCACCUCCACCCCAGGCUUGGAACUUAGGGAAUGACUGGUUUUUGUCAUUUCACACAACAGCUGAAGGAUUCUGUCCCCACCUCGUCCUCUGUGAAGUCUGCUGGACGUACCUGCCAGAAUCUUCUGAAGAUGACGUUUGCUGAACACUGACCCACAGGGGUUUGAUGGAUUAUUGACAAUGAGACAAGCUGUCUUUUCAUCAAUUAGAUAUUCCAGUUGUUUCAGGUCAAUUUCCCAAGAUUUCUCUGGCUGGAGAGAAAGAAAGGAUGAGACUAAGAUGAUUCUGAAACAUUUAGGGGGAAUCCUCACUUAUCUCAAGGGUCCAAUGUAAGCAAUAAAGUCUGUCUCUGGCUUCAACCACC
ensembl:lncRNA TAT-AS1 TAT antisense RNA 1